GGAAAUGUAGUUCAAUGGUAGAACUUCAGCCUUCCAAGCUGACUAUGCGGGUUCGAUUCCCGUCAUUUCCU
rnacentral:tRNA from 1 species